UUAUUCGCCUUCCAUUAUUAUCCCAUACUUCUUUUAUAUAAUUACCAACUGUCUCAAAUUAUAACCGAGAAAAUCUCGAUUUUCAUCGAUUGCAAUGGGAAUAACUACAUGAUGACUUCUUAACGAAGAUAAAAGAUCAUCUGAAAGAUAAGUAUUUAAUCUUAUUGGCAUUGAAUUAUACAAAACGAAUGUAAAAUAUUAAUAGAAUGAAACGAAUUUUACUAUAUAAUACUUUAUUUAGGUUAAGAGAUAAUUUACAUCAUAUGUCAUAGGACAAUGAUCUAACUCCCACGCCUCAUUAACCAGACAGCGCGACUACUACUUCGCCUGCAAUGGAUAUCACGUGUAUUCUUAAAAUUAGAGUUGACUGACCAGUUCUUACGUGAAAAGAUGUAUUUUAUUAUUAAAUGAACUUGUUAAGUUAAUUUCUAUAUCAAGAGCUAUAGCAGCGGUUACGAUAAGGGAUCCAAAGAAGCAAGUUUUAUUAAGCUGAAUCAUGAUUAAAAAUUUUUCAACCAGCUUAUCCAGAAGUGUAUAUAAUUAUAUCUGCAAAACAUAAAACAUUAAAUCGUAUCGAAGGAAACUUCGCCUCGAAUUCAAUCAAGUGGUAAAACAUCUGGAUACUUCUCCGGACAGACGUAAAAAAAAAGAAGAAGACGACCUGCUAGA